rnacentral:rRNA from 1 species
AGCGAACGCUGGCGGCAGGCCUAACACAUGCAAGUCGAACGAACUCUUCGGAGUUAGUGGCGGACGGGUGAGUAACACGUGGGAACGUGCCUUUAGGUUCGGAAUAACUCAGGGAAACUUGUGCUAAUACCGAAUGUGCCCUUCGGGGGAAAGAUUUAUCGCCUUUAGAGCGGCCCGCGUCUGAUUAGCUAGUUGGUGAGGUAAAGGCUCACCAAGGCGACGAUCAGUAGUUGGUCUGAGAGGAUGAUCAGCCACAUUGGGACUGAGACACGGCCCAAACUCCUACGGGAGGCAGCAGUGGGGAAUCUUGCGCAAUGGGCGAAAGCCUGACGCAGCCAUGCCGCGUGAAUGAUGAAGGUCUUAGGAUUGUAAAAUUCUUUCACCGGGGACGAUAAUGACGGUACCCGGAGAAGAAGCCCCGGCUAACUUCGUG